CGCAUGCGUGAGACCGGGGCGGUGUCCGGGAGUCGAGAGAGUCGGCGGUGCACGCUCCACAUUUCCACUUCCCUAGUCAAUGCCGGCAGUCUCGCGGGAUUUCCUCCUGUCGCGGGAGUUAUUUGAAUGCCUGCGCGGUAACGACUCCUUAGGGGCCUGGGGCCCUCUGACAAGAAGCCUGAGGAGACGCCGCGGAGAGCUCUGCCUCUGGAUUGGUGGGCAGGUUGGCUGUAGCUGAACGCCGACAGGGCUUGUCCGGACAGAGUCCCAGAGCCAUGGGAGCGUAAAGAGACUGCUGCGGAUUAAGGAGGCCUUUCGGCUGGCGCAGCAGCCGCACCACAACCAGGCGAAGCUGGUGGUGGCGCUGAAUCGCUCCUGCGGCGGGGGGUAACUGUCAGAUUCUGAAAAGAAUUAAAGAGUUGCUGGAUCCAAGAGGAAAUGUGUUUGCAAAUAUGAUAGAUAUUUACAAUUGCCCUUCAUGGAGUGAUCCGUUCCUGAUCGGCAGAGAAGAGCAUGAGAGUACUGUGGUAAACAGCAAUGAAGUUUUUGAUGUGCCAAAUUCUGACGAUGGAGUUUUGCUCUUGUUGCCCACGCUGGAGUGCAAUGGCAUGAUCUCGACUUACCGCAACCUCCAGCUCCCGAGUUCAAGUGAUUCUCCUGCUACAACCUCCCGAGUAGCUGGGAUUACAGGCGCCCGCCACCACGCCUGGCUAAUUUUGUAUUUUUAGUAGAGAUGGGGUUUCUCCAUGUUGGUCAGGCUAGUCUCGAACUCUCGACCUCAGGCGAUCUGCCCACCUUGGCCUCCCAAAGUGCUGGGAUUAUAGGUGUGAUAAAUUGACCAUCUUAUACCAGGAAAUCAAAUGAGAAGACAUCAGUAAAAAUAUUCUGGCCAACUCAUGUUUUAUUUAUCAUAUCCUCUUCAUUAAUUGCUUCUCAUAAUGCCACAGUUUGUCAUGGUAUUUGUGGCAGCAGGCAAAGUCCUUGCUUAGACUUUGAUUAAAUUACUGUGGCAUUUUUCUAUUAAAAAGAUAUCGUGGUUUCAAUCUAUAAUUUGCCUGUGAUCUGCGGGUUAAAAAAAAGAGCACUAUACUAUUCCAUUUGAUUCAGUGUUUUCAGAUAAUACAUCAUUUUGCUUAGUCUCAUUUGGAUGAAAUGAAUAUUUCCAGAUCUACAUGUCAAAUAAGAGGAUACUACAACUUAGUAUGUAACUCCUAAAAAAUAGAAAUUAUUUAAUAUGAGUUAAACUUCAAUUUUAACAGAUGUUGAGUGCCUAUAUCAUAUGCCAAGCAUUGGACUAGGUACUUGUACAUGUUUUCUCAUGGACUGCCAUCAAGGUUAAAGAGGUUGCCCAUGAUCAUGUGACUGUUUAGUGAAAGAGCCAAGAACCUAAGUACUACGACAUGUAUCCAGGUGCCCUUUGCACUGUCCCAUGUUUCAAAUCAUUAAAGGUGGGAUGCGAUUUUCAAGAUUAUUUAAUAGCUGUAAUUUGUAAUGGGUACAAAUAUGGUUUAUAAUGUUAACAUUAAACUAGAAACUAUGCAACA